GGUUCCAGGAGGAACAUGAUCUUAAAGGAGACAGAGCCUCUGGAUAAAAAAAGACAACCAUCGGUGGAAUAAUAAAAAGCGCCAUAAACGCUGAAAGAAAAAUGUUCUGGGUUAGAAGACGAAAAAGGAUCCAUCAGCUUAACUCAUCAAGAAAGGCGUCAAGUCAACAGUUCUGCCCUACUGUGAGAUUUUUCCAAACAAAAAUACCUGAAACAUCAGUUUGGCCAAGUAUGCCUUCAGUGACACUCAGCAAAUGGAGCUUCCUCAAGCACAGUGCUGUAAGAAAUGUGAGAGUGAGUCUAUGUAUAUUGUUAAGUUAUUCUUUUUAUGGUGCUUUUUUAAUCUUUAAUUUCGGCUAUGAAUAUGCGCAAGCAUGGUUAAAAACAUUCGCUUGUCUCCAGAAGGUCAUUAAUGUUUUGUGGCUGUUGAAGUUUUAACAGUGCGUUCUUUUUAUUUCUUUCUGUAUUUUCAUUUUAAAAUUGAUUUGAAAGGUCGAGUGAUAGGGAAAGACAGCGGGAGAGAUCUAUUGCUGGUCACUCUCCAAAUGGCUGCAGUGGCGGAGUCUGAGCCACACCAAAGCCAUGAGCCAGAAGCUGCAUCUAGAUUUCCCUCACGGGUGGCAGUGCCCAGGCACUUAUGCCAUCUUCCGCUGCCUUCCCAGGCACAUUAGCAGGGAGCUGGUUUGGAAAUGGAGCAGAGGCUUAACAUGCUGCACCAGGAUGCCAGCCCCCACUGGGUUGUUUCAUGGAUAGGUAUUGUUGUUGAACACAGGGACUGUUUCUAGGCACAGAGAAUGAGACAUACUUUAGGAGGGACAUUAGGUGUGAUUAUGAUGAUAGAGCUCAGAUCUGCAGUCCUAGAUCCACAAAUGCAUGGUGAGAAGUUAGAACAAACUGGAUGUGAGCCAUUGACACAUGGACUGUAUCUAGCCACGUUAAAAAAAAGAAAUUACUCCAAUUCCUAACCUUCAAAGAGCCACAUGGAGUCACUUCAUUCACACAGAGAGCUCCCAGGACAUUGCCCCUUUGAGCAUGAGAGGAACCUCUACACGUUUGUAUCAGUUCUUUAAAAAAAUAUUUAUUUGAAAGAUAGAAUGAUGGAAGGAGAGGAAGACAUAGUGAGUGAGAGAUCUUCAGUCUGUAGGUUCAUUCCCCAAACAGCCACUAACAGCCAGGGCUGGACCAAGCAAAAGCAGGGAGCCAGAAACUCCAUCCAGGUCUCCCAUGUGGAUAACAGGGACUCAAGUACUCCUUGUGCUGCUAUCCCAGACACAUUAACAGAGAGAUAGGUCAGAAGUGGAGAAGCUGGGGCUUCAACUAGUACUCCAAUAUAGGAUGCUGGCAUUGCAAGUCGCAGUUUCACCUGCUGUGCCACAGUGCUGGCAUCUGUAUCAGUUCUUAGGAAUGGAAUUUGGUGGUUCUCC
rnacentral:lncRNA from 1 species